UAUCGAUUAAUCCACCACUCAAGAGUCUCAACAGAAUCAUAUGUUGCACAAGACACUGUACUAAGCAAGACGCUUCUCCCUAACCUUUCUCUCCUCCUCCUCCUUCCCAAUUUCCUAUGCUAUCUGUGUCCCCUAAAACUAGGAAAUGGAGAAAAUGAGAAGAAAAAACAGUGUGACAGGAGUCCUGAAUUGGCUGGAGAGAGAGAUGAGAUGGAUGCAUCUUCCCUUUCUCCUCCCAGUCCUCCCCCAUGGCCAAUUAGCAUCAGGCCACUGUGUGAUAACAUCCGGGUUACCCCCUUCACCUUUCCCCUCCAUCUCCUCAUUUCAGUCACUAGAAGCCCAGCCAAUUGGCAGAGUGGAGACCUCAGUGACUCCCUGCACCAAUCCUAGGGUCCCCGGCCCUAUUUCAGACUACUUGGGGCUCAGGUAAAGGUAGAAACCACAAUCGUCUCCUCCUCAUCUCCUCCCCGGAGCCCCGAGCACUGCAGGAGGAGACAUGCUGGGUUAUGCUACUCUCUUUCUCACCGCCCUGCUCCCUGCUGUCCAGACAGCACUCACCAUGGACCAGCAAAUAACCUCCAUCACCAAGGUGGUGGGGACCGUAGCAUCAUUGUCCUGCGAGUUUUCCGAUCAAAGCAUCACGUACGUCCACUGGUAUCGCCAGCAGCAGGGAAAGGCUCCCCAGCGCCUGCUCUACUAUAACCUGGCCAAGUCUGAAGUCACCCUGGAAUCAGGAUUCAACUCAAACAAAAUCCACGCUUACAAGUCAAAGGAUCGAAGGUGUUCCCUGUUGAUCCAGAAAGUGGACAAGAAUGAUGCUGGCACCUAUUACUGUGCUAGCUGGGACUCCACGGUGACAUAAUCUCUCUGCCCCUCAUACAAAAAGUCACUGUCUGUGGUCACCAGGAGCAGGGCCUGCCCCCAACAGCUCCGGUACUGAAUUUCACUCCUCGUUUCAGGGUAUUUGGCAAACUAAAGGUGGCCUCAGCUUGGUUUCUGGAUGAAGUAGGUCCAAACUGCAACUCUUUCUCUAAGAACCAUCCCAGAGGUCACACCCACUUUAGCCAGAGUGGGUUAGCCACUUUAGAGAAGUGGGUUUAGCCACUUUAGAGAAGCAGCGUG